rnacentral:rRNA from 1 species
UACGUAGGGGGCAAGCGUUGUCCGGAAUCAUUGGGCGUAAAGAGCGCGUAGGCGGUCCGAUAAGUCGGUUGUGAAAACUGGGGGCUCAACCCUCAGAGGCCGACCGAUACUGUCGGGCUAGAGUCCGGAAGAGGCGAGUGGAAUUCCCAGUGUAGCGGUGAAAUGCGCAGAUAUUGGGAAGAACACCAGUGGCGAAGGCGGUUCUCUGGGACGGUACUGACGCUGAGACGCGAAAGCGUGGGGAGCGAACAGG